rnacentral:rRNA from 1 species
UACGGAGGAGGCAAGCGUUAUCCGGAAUUACUGGGCGUAAAGCGCGCGUAGGCGGCUUUGCAAGUCGGGUGGGAAAUCCCCAGGCUUAACCUGGGAACUGCAUUCGAGACUGCAUUGCUAGAGUAUGGGAGAGGGAAGUGGAAUUUCCGGUGUAGCGGUGAAAUGCGUAGAUAUCGGAAGGAACAUCAGUGGCGAAAGCGACUUCCUGGACCAAUACUGACGCUCAUGUGCGAAAGCGUGGGGAGCAAACAGG